CAGAGUCGAUUGAGAUUAUGUCAAAGGCUAUAGAGUGGCUUAUCAGUAUAGUUACACCUUUGCUUUUGGUUGGGGAGGUGGAAUGAAACUGGUGUGGGUAGGAUUUGAGACCCAGAACAGGGUUGGAGUCCUGUUUAAAGUGGGUCUCCUGUAAGCAGACGAUGUCUGCGUGCGCGUUGUUUAGUUCUUUAAGGAGAGUGUGUCGUUUGUUGGGUGAGUUGAGACCUCUUACGUUGUGGGUAAGUAGCUUCAUUUUUCGUGGGUGGUGUAUCUUGUGUAUGUGGAUAAUAUGAGGUAGUCGUGUGGG